rnacentral:rRNA from 1 species
UACGGAGGGUGCGAGCGUUGUCCGGAUUUAUUGGGCGUAAAGAGCGUGUAGGCGGCCAGGUAGGUCGGUUGUGAAAACUAGAGGCUCAACCUCUAGACGUCGACCGAAACCACUUGGCUAGAGUCCGGAAGAGGAGAGUGGAAUUCCUGGUGUAGCGGUGAAAUGCGCAGAUAUCAGGAAGAACACCCGUGGCGAAGGCGGCUCUCUGGGACGGUACUGACGCUGAGACGCGAAAGCGUGGGGAGCGAACAGG